AACAAUUAACAAAAUAUGCAUUCUUGUAAAAUAAUAGGAUAAAAAGACUGGUAAAAAGUGCUAAGUUGGUAUAAAGUGCUAAAAAGUUAAAUGCUAAGAGGUUAAGUGCUAGAAAACCACACAAUCAAAAGUGAAAAUAUACAAAUAUAAAUAAGUGCUGGGUAAGAAAGGUAAAGCCAACAAGUAAGAGGAAAAAAUAAAAAGGCACACAGACACACAAAAGAAAACAAAAACAAAGGGAUACCAGUCCUAAUAAACUAAAACCAUACAGAGUAUAAAAGUUAAUGGAAAUAAAUAAAUAAUUAAUACAUAGUUAAUAAUUUAUCUGUUUUACAAAUAUAAAAAAGACCUACAAGGGGAGGGAAGGAAACAGACAGGGAGACACAAGGGGGAUAAAAGGUUUUAUUUUUUAAUUGAGUUUUUCGUUAAAACCUGUAGGGAAAAGUGUAUUUAAUUUUAAAAUCCACAGCCUCUCUGCUCUUUUUCUCUGGGCUGUGGACCAGCCUGGAUUCCCCUCAAGGCCGCAUGUUUGAAGGUGGGAAGUGUUGUGUGUCUGAAAAUGAAUGACGAGGUGUGUUUGGAGUUUAUUGUUACGUAUGUUGCGGAGGUGUUGUGUGAGGCGUAUGCGAAGUGUAUGUUUGGUUUCUCCAAUGUAGAUCAGGUGACAGAGGGUACAGGUGAUGGCAUAAACUAAGUUGGGGGUGUCUAAAUUAAGGGGGCUGUUGGGGGCUGAAAGGUGACUAUGAAUGUUGGUGAUGAAGUGAUGGGGUCUGAAAUAAAUAUUUUCUUUGGGAGUGGGGGGCUUGAGAUGACGAGUGAAGGUGGUUCUGAUAAGUAGGUCCUUGAGGUUUUUAUUGCGUUUAUAUGCGGAAAUGAUUGUGGUGUUCUGAAAUGUAGGGAGUGUUGUUUGCAGUGUAGUGAAGUUGUGUUUCAGUCUGUGGUGUAGAUGUUGUGUACCUUGUGAGAAAGUGGUGAUGAGGGGUAGGAUGUAUGUUUCUGUAGGGGGGGUUAAGGUUAGGGUUAGGAAUGAGGUCUGAUAUAGGGUGUGAUGGCACGGCUGGGCUAGGGUAAAGAUCUGGGAUGGGGUUAGAGACAGGGUUAGGGUUAGGAAUGGGGUUUGGGUUAGGGUUAGGAUUUGGGUAUGGGUUAAGGUUAGGGUUAGGGUUAGGGGAAUAAAUCCUGUCCAGCCCAAGAGAACGCAAGUAAGUACUAAGCCCAGGCUCCAGGGGGAUGUGGGGAUAGGAUCUGGGGUUAGGUUCAGGCAUGGGGUAAGGUUUUGGGACAGGGUUAUGGUCAGGAUGGGGGAUAGGUUAGGAUAUGUUGACCCCAGGCUUUUCCCAAACUCACACUCAAAGGGCCAGAGCAGUUUGUGCACUGUCCAUCCCUUUAAUCUCCUUGUGUCACUCUCUUCCUA
ensembl:lncRNA